GACGAACGCUGGCGGCGUGCUUAACACAUGCAAGUCGAGCGGGAAACUUCGGUUUCCAGCGGCGGACGGGUGAGUAACACGUGGGCAACCCGCCUCACAAUGAGGGAUAGCCUUCCGAAAGGAAGAUUAAUACCUCAUAAUACAAGAGAAACGCAUGUUUCUCUUGCCAAAGAAUUUCGUUGUGAGAUGGGCCCGCGGCCCAUUAGCUUGUUGGUGAGGUAACGGCUCACCAAGGCUGCGAUGCGUAGCCGACCUGAGAGGGUGAUCGGCCACAUUGGAACUGAGACACGGUCCAGACUCCUACGGGAGGCAGCAGUGGGGAAUAUUGCACAAUGGAGGAAACUCUGAUGCAGCAACGCCGCGUGAGUGAUGAAGGUCUUCGGAUUGUAAAGCUCUGUCUUCUGGGACGAUAAUGACGGUACCAGAGGAGGAAGCCACGGCUAACUACGUGCCAGCAGCCGCGGUAA
rnacentral:rRNA from 1 species